AAGAAAUAGAACAGGGUCCAAAAAGAAAGCUGAACCUCAGGAUGGUUCAUCCAUGACAGAUGCUGAGAAGACUGUCUCAACAUCCAGUAAGAGAAAGAAGAAGUCUUGGACUAGUUUGAAGGAAAUUGCUGAAAGUCAGAGUAGCAAUAGUAGGAAGUUCUCCAAUAUAUCUGUUCCAUUUAUUCUUUGAUUGUGAGAAUUGUAUUUUGCCCGUAGAGCACCCCCUUUUUUGGGGGUUUUCACGCCGGUGUCCGGAGCUCAUAUUGGCGCGCUCUAACUAAAUUCGAAUCACGCACUGCAGGGUCUAUUGGGAGUGACACUCCCUAACAUAUUUUCUCUCGGAAUUUUCGUCAUUUCAAUCAUAUCCUUGCUUCCAUCUUUACUCCACGUGGUAAUGUAGUCAUGGCUUUACUGGGCGUGGCAUUCAUGCCUGCUUCCACCAGCUCCAUCUCAGUGCUCUCAUGAGUCUCAUCUAUCCACUGAUCAAGAGGAAGAUAAAAGCUUCUGCCAUAUUCUCUGAGUGCAACUUCAAUUUUUAGGCAUUGAAAGAUGGCAAUGGCGAUGACAAUGUGAAAGUGUCGUAGCUGCUAAUGUUGUUUGCAGCAGUAUUAGGCAUGAGUUGUACUGAUUUUGUUUGUGGGGUUGCUUAGAAUUCGAAAUACCAACCAUUUCUUGAAGAAGCCUUACAGGUAAUAUAAUACAUUCGUUCCAUUUCACACCUCUUUUGGUUCUUGUUGUUCUGAAAAGGCGUAAAAAAUGUUGAUGAUCGUUAAAGCCUUAUUUAGUACAACUUCCCAUCUUUUUGGCUGAACUUGAAUCCAGUGUGGGCUUUUGUUUCUCCUUGAUCUAUUCUUUUUUAGUUUCUUUAUAGUUCAGUUCUUUUGCUUUCUCUGCAGCAGGUUGUUACUUCUGAUCUGACUAUCCUGUCUUUUGCUCUCUGUUGUGGUUUGUAUAUUUCUACAUUUGUAUAGUUUUCAGGGUGUGGUAAGUUUUGCUCUUCUACGGUUUUUUCUUAUAAAUUACUUAUGUGUACAUAUUGUAGUUUUACCUAACUUUUUGUUUGUGACAAGUGACUACAUAUAAACAUAUAUACACAUUAAUCAAUUUUGCACUCAAUUCAAACUUUCGUAUUCUUUUCAUGCCUUAUUCCUUACUCCUUAGAAAUAUCUAGUACAAAAAAUAGAAAAGUUGCAUAGAUGUCUUGUAGGAAUCAUAAAUGAUUAAGAUUGGAAAAAAACAUGCUAAUAAAAGGGCUAGAAAAUGCGGAUUAUAUAGACUAUUGCCACCUGACAAGAAAAAUCUCCUUAAAUGUGACAAUGAGCAAACAUAGUUGAAUUAAGGUUUUUUCUGUGACAGUGAAACAGAAUUGGGGAUUUUUUUAUAAAGAAGAACAAUUAGUAUCUCUGGUUUGAUUCGGAGGGAUAAUAUGUAUCUCUGCAGGAGAACAAUUAUGUUCCAUGUCUCGAAGAACUGGUUGUACGAUAUGGAAGAUUAGCAAAGGAUUAAAUUAGCAUUCUGACUAUAUUGUCAUUUUUAAAUAUUUCAUCUAUUAACAUACAAGUUCUCUCAUGUGUCUAUAAGCUUAAGCCUUUGGGUGGUUUUUCAUUACCGUGGCUCUGAAAAUCCAUCAGGUAGUUGUAGAAAGCCACCAUGUAGUUGUAGAAACUCCACGACUUCUUCAGUUUUUAUUCAAUCUUUUAUCUUUAAUUUUCUUUUGUUUUCCUUAAUCUUCUUAGGUGAUGGUAUAUUUUCAGAUUAGCUUCUCUUGAUGUAUUUAUCAAAGCUAUAUGAUCCUGUUUUUCUGAAACGACUUAUGUAAUCUUCUCAAUAUUUUUUGCUUUGUUUUGUUUCACCUUCGUUGUUUCAGUACUGCUAUCAUAUUAUCUCCAUCAACAAUACAACAAAGCGGAAAUAUACUUGAUAGUUUUCUGUUUAAAAAUAAAUAGUUGAUCACCUACAUUGAAAACAGCAAUAGCAAUAGCAAUAGCAAUAGCAAAUGCAUUUGCUGAUAGAAUAGAUUGAUACAAAAUUUAUAUAUGUAAACCGUUAAUUCGCUCGUAUGUUUAUAUCUUGGGUUGAAAUAACUUUAUGGCAUUUAAGUCUUGCUAAUAUGAAGGGAGGAUAUCACAAAUCAAAUACAUGCAUUAUAAUCUUUUGUUACAGUUGACAGAUAUAAUUUUUAUCGCAAAUUGUAGUGUGAAGUCUUAUUCACACACUCUUUUUUCUCUAAUUUCAAUUACUACAUCAUUAUUGAGCUCACUAACUAUUAUAAUUGAACCAGUAAGAUCUGUAUGAGAGGUGAAAUUGAUAUGAUUCACGAUGUCGUUAUAGAGGUUGUAUAAGUGUUUAUAUUGAUCUUAAGCUCGAUUUAUUUGUAGAUUUCAUUGGAUACAUAAAAAUUAUUGAACAUCAUUGUAAUUAUUUCUUGUCACAGUGUCGUCGUUGCCGUGGAUCUUCUAUUUUCUUCUAUUUGCAGGUUACUUUGUCAGGAGAAAAAAAUCAACUACUUCCUCCUCAGAGGUCUUCAUCACAUGUAUAGGAUGUCUCAAAAUACUCAUUUCAAACAAAAUGUGAACUUCUCUCUCUCUCUCUGUAAAACAAUAGCUAUUAUAUAUAGUAAUGGUUGCUCUAGCCGGAACAAAAGGUUGCAUCACAUACCCCGACAUUUUCAGAUCCAUCCUAUCCACCUGGUAAUUGUAAAUCUCAUUUUUGUACUUUUGGCCUCUAAACACAACAUUUUUCUUUGGUCUCUCUUUUUCUACUUCUUUUCUCUUUCCAAAUUUCAACUUUGCAUAUGCUGUUAUGUCUCCCUUUUUUUUUAAUUCUAUUUUUCUGUCAACCUUCAGUUAUUCUAUGACAAACAUAUAGAUAUUAAGAAGAAAAAAAAUUAGAUAUUUUAUUUUACACGGGUAUUGUAUCUAUAAGAAUUAUCCAUUUUUCUAUGGUUUUAUGUAGACUUGCUUAGACAUUCUUAUAUUUCAGGAAGGAAAAACAUAGAAUGUUGUAGUUGUAAAUAUAAUUCUCCUUCUCGCUGCUAAAACAUACAAUAAUUCUUCUAUGCAUAUGAAAUUUAACAUUUUUUGGUUUCUUGGAAGAGGAUUUUUCGAGUGCUUUAUUUUGUUGCUUAGUGGAUAUUGGUAACAAUAUCUAGGUGGUUCAUAAGUCUCAAAAUCGUUGUACUAUUGUCUCAUCUGAUUACAUACUCUGUAGUUUUAUAUGCACUUGUUUUCAUAAUUGUGAUUGCUUUUGUUUCUUUUGUCUUUUGGGUCCUCUCUAUUCCUUUCAAAGGUUAAGUCAUGAUAAAUAUAUUGUGUGACAAAUUAGUUUCUAUUUUUUGAGUGAUGCUAUUCUUU